CGUAGGGUGCGAGCGUUAAUCGGAAUUACUGGGCGUAAAGGGUGCGCAGGCGGUUAUAUAAGACAGAUGUGAAAUCCCCGGGCUCAACCUGGGAACUGCGUUUGUGACUGUAUGACUAGAGUACGGUAGAGAGGGGUGGAAUUCCUGGUGUAGCAGUGAAAUGCGUAGAUAUCAGGAGGAACAUCGAUGGCGAAGGCAGCCCCUUGGACCUGUACUGACGCUCAUGCACGAAAGCGUGGGAGCAAACAGGAUU
rnacentral:rRNA from 1 species